UUUCAGCGAAAUUAAAUUAAAAAUUAUGUUAUAGAAGAAAGAAAAAUAUCAAUAUCUGUUUUCAAUAACUUGGCUUUCAUAGCCAAUCUUAGAGACUGUUUAACGUUUAACUCCUGUCCCAACCUAACCUAGUGGAUUCAAAAAGUAGGCACCGCGCUGGAAACAUGAGUGGAUUAAAAGGAUAAACCCUUUUUGAAUUAAUAGUCGAAGUAGUACCAGCUAGAAGUCGUAACCUACUCAUAUGAAAAGAUUUCUCGAGGUGAAAUUGUUAAUUUUAUUCAACAACGCCAAGAAACAGAGCUCACUCAAGAAACAGAAAAGAAAGAGAAAGAUGAAAAAAU